CUCUCGCAGAGAAAACCAACAAACCAAUACACAAAAUACCACCACACGAGCUUUCGAACAGUUAGGACAGUUACCAUAAACAGAAAGCUUUUUUUUUACUAGAUAUUACGCCAUCUUCAAAAUAGCAGUUAAACAACAUCUCUAAGAACAGUGUAGUGCAGGUCGUUAGAAACAGUUAGUGCCCCAAUUUCUACCAAUAAUUGUAUAAAUGUUUAAAACUGCAUACAAGAAGCUCCAAAUGCACAAAACGGCAAAAACUAAAAACGAAAAACGGUAGACAGUUCCACCCUUGAAAAAGGCCAAAUACAAAGUGCCGAAACGUCGGGCAGAACAAAACUAUCCGUUUUGAUCCCCUAGACUGCGAAAGCCAGUUAAAAUUGAGAACAA